UACGAAGGGGGCUAGCGUUGCUCGGAAUCGACUGGGCGUAAAGCGCACGUAGGCGGAUUGCUAAGUCAGGGUGAAAUCCUGGAGCUCAACUCCAGAACUGCCUUUGGAUACUGGCGACCUUGAGUCCGGGAGAGGUGAGUGGAACUGCGAGUGUAGAGGUGAAAUUCGUAGAUAUUCGCAAGAACACCAGUGGCGAAGGCGGCUCAACUGGCCCGGUACGUGACGCUGAGGUGCGAAAGCGUGGGGAGCAAACAGG
rnacentral:rRNA from 1 species